AUUGAACGCUGGCGGCAAGCCUAACACAUGCAAGUCGAACGAGUGGCGGACGGGUGAGUAAUGUCUGGGAAACUGCCUGAUGGAGGGGGCUAACUACUGGAAACGGUAGCUAAUACCGCAUACCAUCGGAUGUGCCCAGAUGGGAUUAGCUAGUAGGUGGGGUAAUGGCCCACCUAGGCGACGAUCCCUAGCUGGUCUGAGAGGAUGACCAUCCACCCUGGAACUGAAACACUUGCCAUACUCCUACGGGAGGCAGCAGUGGGGAAUAUUGCACAAUGGGCGCAAGCCUGAUGCAGCCAUGCCGCUUGUAUGAAGAAGGCCUUCGGGUUGUAAAGUACUUUCAGCGGGGAGGCGUUACCCGCAGAAGAAGCACCGGCUAACUCCGUGCCAGCAGCCGCGGUAAUUC
rnacentral:rRNA from 1 species